CCUACGGGAGGCAGCAGUGGGGAAUAUUGCACAAUGGGGGAAACCCUGAUGCAGCGACGCCGCGUGAGUGAAGAAGUAAUUCGUUAUGUAAAGCUCUAUCAGCAGGGAAGAAAAUGACGGUACCUGAGUAAGAAGCCCCGGCUAACUACGUGCCAGCAGCCGCGGUAAUACGUAGGGGGCAAGCGUUAUCCGGAUUUACUGGGUGUAAAGGGAGCGUAGACGGGAGUGCAAGUCUGGAGUGAAAGGCGGGGGCUCAACCCCCGGACUGCCCUUGAAACUGUACGGCUUGAGUGCAGGAGAGGUAAGUGGAAUUCCUAGUCUAGCGGUGAAAUGCGUAGAUAUUAGGAGGAACACCAGUGGCGAAGGCGACUUACUGGACUGUAACUGACGUUGAGGCUCGAAAGCGUGGGGAGCAAACAGGAUUAGAUACCCCUGUAGUC
rnacentral:rRNA from 1 species